CGGGAGGGCGCUUACCACUUUGUGAUUCAUGACUGGGGUGAAGUCGUAACAAGGUAACCGUAGGGGAACCUGCGGUUGGAUCACCUCCUUACCUAAGAGA
rnacentral:rRNA from 1 species